GCCCGAGUAGCGAAGUGGUAACGCGUAUCCCUCCUAAGGAUAAGAUCGCCGGUUCAAGCCCGGCCUCGGGUG
rnacentral:tRNA from 1 species